UUUUGAUGCGUAGGCGUGCGAGUUUUUGGGCCUCUUCGGCGCGCUCAAGGUAGACAGUCACGUCAAGGUUUUCCUCGUCGGUGACGUUGGGUUACAUGGCGUCGAGCGUCGUUGCCGGGGUCCUUCCUAGACCAACGUGUAUGGCCUCAUCUACGUCGUUUCUUGCACAGCCAUGUUGUACGCGACGGUCACAUACGGAAGGAUGGUACCCCACGUAUUGUGUUCGAUGUCGACGUACACAGUGGUCCAUCGGAGCGCGUAGCAGCAGCUCGGCGCCACCGCCGGCCGGCUGCUGCAACGAGUUUGGCGCAGGCGCAGUGAGCACCGU
rnacentral:lncRNA from 1 species